GACGAACGCUGGCGGCGUGCUUAACACAUGCAAGUCGAACGGAAAGGCCCUGCUUGCAGGGUACUCGAGUGGCGAACGGGUGAGUAACACGUGGGUGAUCUGCCCUGCACUUCGGGAUAAGCCUGGGAAACUGGGUCUAAUACCGGAUAGGAGCCAUUUUUAGUGUGAUGGUUGGAAAGUUUUUUCGGUGUAGGAUGAGCUCGCGGCCUAUCAGCUUGUUGGUGGGGUAAUGGCCUACCAAGGCGGCGACGGGUAGCCGGCCUAAGAGGGUGGACGGCCACAUUGGGACUGAGAUACGGCCCAGACUCCUACGGGAGGCAGCAGUGGGGAAUAUUGCACAAUGGGCGCAAGCCUGAUGCAGCGACGCCGCGUGGGGGAUGACGGCCUUCGGGUUGUAAACUCCUUUCGCUAGGGACGAAGCUUUUUGUGACGGUACCUAGAUAAGAAGCACCGGCUAACUACGUG
rnacentral:rRNA from 1 species